CAGGCUGUCUCAUCAAGAAAUUGGGCGCAAAAAUCUGUUCAGCCAUUUCAAGAAUAAAGCUGAUCAGGCUAAGGCCAAUUUUAUUUUAACCAAGAAGGAAAAGCAGACGGUAAUGGCUAAUUAUAAAAAAAGGCUUGGCAAAAUUAAGCGUACAUGUGAGGAAAUAAGACACAGUAGCUUGUCUUCAGAAGACCAAAUCCAGAUACUGAAUAUCUUUAGAGGGCUGGGGUUCUGAGGUGAGCGAGCAAAGUGCGGAUUAACCCUCUCACGGGUAAGACCGCCUCCAGGCGGUCUUCACAAAAACAAACGACAUGGAUU